rnacentral:rRNA from 1 species
GAUGAACGCUGGCGGCGUGCCUAACACAUGCAAGUCGAGCGAUCUUCUUCGGAAGGGAGCGGCGGACGGGUGAGUAACGCGUGGGUAACCAGCCCUGUACACACGGAUAACAUACCGAAAGGUAUGCUAAUACGGGAUAAUAUGCUUUUAUCGCAUGGUAGAAGUAUCAAAGCUCCGUCGGUACAGGAUGGACCCGCGUCUGAUUAGCUAGUUGGUAAGGUAACGGCUUACCAAGGCGACGAUCAGUAGCCGACCUGAGAGGGAGAUCGGCCACAUUGGAACUGAGACACGGACCAAACUCCUACGGGAGGCAGCAGUGGGGAAUAAUGACCAAUGGGCGGAAGACUGAUGCAGCAACGCCGCGUGGGCGAUGAAGGCCUUCAGGUCGUAAAGCUCUGUCAUCAAGGAAGAUAAUGACGGUACUUGAGGAGGAAGCCCCGGCUAACUACGUGCCAGCCGCCGCGGUAAUAC